rnacentral:rRNA from 1 species
AUGAGACUAUUUAAAAGGGGCACUCACUUGAUCUUCAGGACGACAAAAGCCAUCUCCACCAUUGUGGCCUGCGGAAUAAUCAUCAAGUGGUCAGUACUACAGGGUCUACGGGGCAACCCUCCAGCAUUGGAGGUUGGUCCUGUUCUGGGUGAUGAGAUGCUGGCGGCGGAGGUGGCGGUGUUCAAGUCCAUGGUGAAGGAUAUGAAGCGGGAAGCAGCGGAGAGACUGGAGGAGUGA